CCUACGGGUGGCUGCAGUGGGGAAUAUUGCACAAUGGGGGAAACCCUGAUGCAGCAACGCCGCGUGAGCGAUGAAGGCCUUCGGGUCGUAAAGCUCUGUUGCCAGGGAAGAACGUCCGUUAGAGUAACUGCUAACGGAGUGACGGUACCUGAGAAGAAAGCCCCGGCUAACUACGUGCCAGCAGCCGCGGUAAUACGUAGGGGGCGAGCGUUGUCCGGAAUUAUUGGGCGUAAAGCGCGCGCAGGCGGCUGUUUAAGUCUGGUGUUUAAUCCUGGGGCUCAACCCCGGGUCGCACUGGAAACUGGACAGCUUGAGUGCAGAAGAGGAGAGUGGAAUUCCACGUGUAGCGGUGAAAUGCGUAGAGAUGUGGAGGAACACCAGUGGCGAAGGCGACUCUCUGGGCUGUAACUGACGCUGAGGCGCGAAAGCGUGGGGAGCAAACAGGAUUAGAUACCCCUGUAGUC
rnacentral:rRNA from 1 species